GGUAAGUACAUCCUCUAUCGGUGGAGACUGGCCUAGAGGAGGCAGAGCAGUAAACUGACCCCAUUAGUGACAUUGGAGAGAAACACAAGAUGAUGAGGAGACACCUUUAAAACUCAAAACAACCACAACAAACCCAGAAGGAGCAACGGGAGAGUGAGAGAAAGGGAGACCUCCAAGCUAGGCAGAGGCCCAACGUCCGGAUAACGGGGGUCUGAGGAAGACGGCCAGGGCCAGCGGACCCCAGAACUCCAGCCCAGGAGGCCAAGACACACACGGCUGGCCACAUCCACCCCCUGGGCUUCCCGUCCACAUCUCGGGCUCCGGAGAAAGGAGCCGAGCCUCGGCAGACUUCCUGUGGCACCGCCCCGCAGUGGACAUGGAGUGACGGACGUCAGAGGCUCUAGAAAGCACCUCGGAGCUGAAGUCUGUCCAGCCAAACGGCCACCUCGAUGCGAGGAGCACAGAGGAGACGCUGUGUGCUGUGAACGUGUCCCCGCAAUCCUUCUGAGGAGCCUGCUGGGGAGGGGCUGUGACCACCCGAAGGACCAAGGGGACAUGGACACGGGAUGGCUGGUGACCUGAAGACAGGCAGGUUGGGAAGUACCAGCAUGAAAGGAGAUGUGGUAAAGGGCAAGGGCUGUGCGGUGUGGCGGUGUAGACGGUAUGCAAACGCACGACAGGGGACAAGGGGGACAUCUGCUGAAAGCCGAGUGCCUUUGUCAGCAGUCACACUGGGUGGUGGCAUUAAUAUGCUCUCCUGAGACUACUGUCUGUGUAACCAGAACACAGCCAGCCAGCAACGAGGGGCAGCCACCCUCUCCCCGUCGGGUCCUCAGAGGGACCUUGUUGUGGAGAAUGGAGGGAGUCAAGCCAGGGUCCAGCUGGGGUCUCCACUCCCAGAGCCAGGAAACGGACGCUUCCAGGGCUGGGCAGAAAGUCGACAGGGGAGCCCGCCACGUCUUGGUGCCUUGUUAGGGUCUGUAAACAAGUCAGGAUGGCGCCUGGCGUUUUGCAGAGGGAGUGGUUUGUGAAGUUAGGCCAGCGAGCCAUUAGGUGUGGAGAUUCCGACUGGUUGACUGCUGUAUCCAGCUUAUGUAAAUUAGAUCAGCUGUGCGCAAUGUAUAUGUGCCCCUCCUGUCCUACAUAAACGGCUCCCGCUCCUGCUGUGUCAGUCUUCACAAGCUGUCCCCAGCCGGACUGUGGCAGUGCCUCAGGAGCCCGGAGCGAGAGGACUGCCGGGGCCCUCAGCAGGGCCUGGCGUGAGUGGGGGGGUUCUCUCUGCUGCAGGAUGGGGGGCUCCCAGGCCAUGGUGUCGGGAACUGCGACAGACUUGAAGCCACCAGAUCUGUUUAAACCCAAAGAGUCCACAACGGUAUUUAAAGAGGAAAACAAGUGAACUGAUCAGUCACAGCGUCAGGGUGACGGGGCAAUUCUUUCUCUUGAAAAAGAGGUCAGUUGGAGUAAGAACUGGACUUCCUGUGCUGUAGGAAGGGCCCCGCUAUAAUCCCACAGCAAACGCGGGGGAAGACCUCUUUGUAAAUCACAGAUUAUUCCGACUAUUUGAUGAAAACAAAAUGGUCAAUUAACCUCAUACGCCCCAUGGCUCCCGACAUCACAGAACAAGGUGCCAGCAGAUGCCUGUGUCCAACCCAGGAGCAGACACCGCUGCGAGCCUGGCGGGUGACAGCGCUGUGGUGUGCCAGCCAGCACACCUAGCCAAGCCCAGGCUGUGGGAAAUUCCUCUGCUUGAACCGCGUGGGCACAGCACAGAUUGCUGACAGGAGCACAAAGGUUAACAAGAGUGGGGGGUCCUGUGCUGAGCUGUGUUCUCCCAGCCUUCCUGCAUUGAAGCCUGUGACCCAGCGUCUCGGCAUGUGACUGCAUCUGCGACGAGGCCUUUCAAGAGGUGACUAAGACUUUUAAACUGAGCAGGAAGUACAGAGAGUUUCCACACGUCCUACCCCCAGACCCACACCCCCCACCGACAUCCCACACCAGUUGGUCACGAUCCAGGAACCUCACAGGUACGUCAUGGUCACCCAGAGCCCUUUGCUGCUCUUUAGAACAAUUUUGUUCUCCCUCCCGACUCCACGCUGGCGUAGGAAGGCGUCUCCUGGUCCAAAGUUCUGGGGCAUGAAGCAGGUGAAACCACAGAGAACAAAAGGAAAGGCUGGGGUGGAGCCGAGCACCCUCCGCGAGCUGGCGCUGGCGAGAGGCAGGAGGCCAAGGGCUGGAGUGGGCACGGGCUGGGACAGCGAGGGAGGACGCCUUCCCUGGGCGGCUGGGCCUGAGGAGAGACGCUGUGGCUGAGGCGACCGACCCAGCAGCCUGAGCGAGACAGCUGGGGGCUGGGAGGAGGCCGCAGACCCCAGCCUGGCCCCACAGCCAGGGGCUCAGUGUCUCUGUGCUGGUUCCCUGAGUUUGCGGAAUGAAGCCAGACAUUCUGCAACCCCAGCAUGUCUGGGAGAAAGAAUGAGAGAGGAUGACAACUGGCCAGUGCGGGUCGUCUGGGCCACAGGAAAACACCAGGGAAGCCCUCUUCCUGCAGCCGCAAAGACACCCGAGAGGCCACUUGAGCAGGUGACUCAGGUGCCACUGAAGCCUUUCCACCAGGGGGCAGCUGCAGGGUGGUGGGGUAAAUGUACCUUGUCUUCUCCUCGGGCCUCGCUGGGAACAGAGCAAGCUCCUCCUGAGAACCAGCGACAUCCAGGUGGGGCUAGAGGUGGGCUGGCAGCAACGUCCCUGUGUCGUCCUCUUACAUUCAACCACGGUCCUGUGCCAUGAAAGGUGAGCUCAGAAGAACUCUCAGAACUUGCUGCCACUUCUCUGCAAACCUAAAAUCAUUCUAAAAGAAAAAAAAAACCAUUAUCAAAAACACACAAAAAGGGCUGGGACUAGAGCUCAGUAGGUAGAGCACUAGCCCAGCACAGAGAUCCUCGGCACCACAUGGAAAUAAAUAAACAGAAUCAAGGUGUUGUGACCAUCUACAAAACAAACAGACAAAGUGUGCCACAGCAGGAACCGUGGGGGCUGAACCAGCGGGAGAGGGCCAGGGUGGUGUAGGGACCGCAGAGUCGACUGGGGACUCUGCGAAGAGGACAUGCAGCUCUGAGGGGCAGAGGUCAGCCAGUGCCUGCCCUUUCAUGCAUGUGGAUGACGAAGAUGAUGCUGGUGAAGAUUAGGAUCGCAGUCAGACAGCCGCCCAGGGCCCUUGGCAGUUGCCACUCGCCUGGGUCCUUGCUGCUUCCUUUUGUCUUCAGGACAAGGAGCAAACAGUGAUCCCCUGGUCUCCAUGGACACUAGGAGACACUGGUGACUCUGGAUGGCAGUUGUCCCUGGUUUCGGACAGGUCCCCUGCUCCUCCUCCUCAGCACUCCUCCUGGGUGGCAAAAGUCUGGCAGGCACCUCCAGCUCCCAAGGUUCCAGCUGUCCAAAAGCUGGCGCAGUUGAGGGCCCACCCCACACAGUCUGUCCAGCCAUGCCCUGGGCAGGGAGGAACGAGUCCUUGCUUCCCCAAGGUUGAAGAAUAACACCAGAAAAGCACGCCGAGGCAAGGUCAGAGUAGAAAUUAGAAGUUUAUUAAAGGACGGCAGAAAAGGCUUCUCCCAGAGGAAGAAGGGGACCCAAGACGUGGAAUCCUGGAAGUGUGGUUGUCUCCCCUCUUUAUAGUUUUGGUGAUGGAAUGUAGGUGGGAAGGCCCGAGGGGUGGGACACAGGUGGGCCAAACAAGUAAUCUGGGCCAGAAGGACUUCAUUAUCACUUCUUGGGAUGGGCUAUCUCCCAAUCUGUUGGGGGCUGUUUCCUGGGUUCCAUUAACAUUUCUUUGGGGUGGACUUUGGCCUAGGGCCUUUCCAUUCCCUGCUUUUCCGGAAUCAUUUUAGGCAUGGCCUCCAUUUUAGGUCUCACUGAUAUUAGACCCGAUUUACCUAACUACACUGACUACCUAACUUUAAAUCUGGCUUCAGAACUGCUGGCCGCCCUGGGCUCAAGCGGGAAAUUGCUAGCAUUGUUUCCUCCUCAAUAAAUUCUUAAAAUGGUCACUAGAUCUGCACCAAAGCCACCCCCACCCCCGUUUUUUUUUGGUACCGGGGAUUGAACUCUGGGGCACUGGACCGCUGAGGCACACCACAGCCCUAUUCUGUAUUUUAUUAGAGACAGGGCCUCACUGAGGUUUUGAACUCAGGAUCCUCCUCUCUCAACCUCCCAAGCUGCUGGCCACCGCGCUAGGAACAAAGCCCCUCUUAAAACACACGGAACAGAAAUGCAGCUCCUCAACAUUUCAGCCCGGGAGGAAGGAGCUGAUUCAGAAAAGCUGCUUUUCAGAGCCAUCUCCCCCUCUGGCUUCCUGGGCCUGACUGGCCAGCACAGCUGCACCAAGGGACCAGUCUGUCUUCGUGUCUGGGAUGGCCCCGGCAAGCCCCACAGCUGUGACAAGAGAGGCUGCGGAGGCUGUCAAAGCCUCCGCAUGGGCUCAGUCCCGCUGGCCCUGGGUCCCUCCUGGUCCUGGAGAGGAUGAUGCAAUGUUUGUGUCCUGUGUUGGCAGAGCUAAGGCCCCUUCCGUGUUGAUGGGCUGACCUCUGGUGGCCGACCUGGACAUUGCCGGGCGCAGACAGCUUCUGACCAACUUGUAUGCCGAAUUGCAUCAGCCAAGGAGCCACUAAGAAAGUUGAGAUCCGUUCAGCCCCUGGGGCUCCACGGUCCUGGCUUUGUGUGGGGGGUGGGGGUCAAGGGACCUCAGUAAGUCUGCCUCGGAUGCUCAGCUGCUCAGCGCUGCGGAGACUGUGACUGACCGCCUGCAGGAGCUCCUGGCUGGUGGGAACUGGUGGCCAGGAACAACCCUCCCAGCGGGUUCUGCCACUGUUGCUGAGCCCCGGCCAGUCUGUGCCGACCCUUCGUGCUUCGGUCCUCUCCGUGCUCAUCUUCAGCCCGUGGAAGGGUCACUUGUCUCUGGGCAAAGGCCCAAAGUGCCUGGGACUCAGGCCAAAGCGUCUGAUAGGAAGAGAAAACAAACAUCCCUCUCCUCUGAAAACCAUCAUCCCCAAGUGAAGUGUGUGACAGGGUCUCUGGAGCUUCAUGGGGGCACGGGCAGGGUGCCCAAGGGUCAGAAAGGGGCAGACAGGAAGGAGCAGGGUGAGGAUGCUCAGCUUACUUGGUACCCAUGACCGGAUUUUUAUUUUCUAUUUUUUGUAGUUGUAGAUGGACAGAAUGCCUUUAUUUUAUUUGUUAAUUUUUUUUUUUAAUGUGGUGCUGAGGAUCCAACCCAGUGCCCCACCCAUGCUAGGCAAGUGCUUUGCCACUGAGCCACGGCCAGCCUCCAUGACCUGUGGUCGGUUUCUCUUCCCCAUCUCUUUGUAUGCCUCUCCACCUCUCUAUUAUCAUGCAACGUAUAUUAACAUGACGUUUCAUGUGUGCCUCUGAGCAAAGUGGAUUCUAGUACAUGGUGUGACUGUUGCCACCUGCUGGCAGGCCGUAGCAUCGCAAUUUCCAGGUCUGGAUGGUGGGGCUUGGGAGGCAUCACACCAAGUCAAGGUUCAUAAGGCAGGAAAACAAUGAUUUUAAUGUCCUUUAAUGUCAUAAUGACAACAGUUAGCCAGUGAACAGGCUGCAAGGUAACUGCGACCCUAGUGUGCUCCCACGUGAGAUGGCAGGCUCUUGUCUGCUUCAGAUGUGUGUCCCCUAAACCCACCCACACAGCUGUCUCUGCUGUCCUGUGGAGUGAUCAGAGGUGCCACAGAGAAAUGCUGGACACAGGACAGAGCAAACUGCUAAUUCCAGGUGUGUUCUUAAAAAGGCCAGAAUACUGAGCCCAGCAGUGCAAGAUGGAGAUGGUGCUGACAGUGAGUUGGAUUUAAAAAAUAAUUUUUUUUCAGUAUUGGGGAUGGAAUCCAGAGACACUUUAUCUCUGAGUUACACUCCCAGGCCCCUUUUAUUUUUAUUUUAAGACAGAGGCUUGCUAAGUCACCCAGGCUGGCCUGGAACUCGUGAUCCUCCUGCCCCAGCCUCCUGAAUUGCUGGAAUUACAGGCAUGGCUGCCCAAUCCACCACAGUUUCUAAAAUCCCUCUAACAUCACCCUUUUGAGCACUUGGUACUUUAAUCCUGCUCAGCCCAGGAGCCAGCUCAGUUUCCCUGCCGGUGACCCCAUAGCCAGCAACCUGUGCGGAGGGCUUCCAGCAGCAGCCUUGAAAUGCCGCUGUCUGGUACAGACGACUGCAAAACUCCCCAUUCCCAAGAAGAGCACUUCUCUUGCUGUUCAACCGCAGGCUCCGUUGGAGGCCAUCUGGAGGGGCCAGGUGUUGCCUUCAUGGAAGCUGGUUCUGAAACCUCCAUCCCGGGCGUGGAGCUAACCACAUCCUGCUGGUUUUGGCCCAGCUGGUGAAUGAUGCAAUCCACAGAGGACAGGUAAAUGCAGCAGAGGCCGUCCUCCACCAGAAUCCCGGGUAGGCAGCUGCAGAAGGCAUGGCGGGUUCAUACCAGGAAACCAGAUCCAAGACUUGGCAACCUGUCGUCCAGUAUUUCAUAGACAAACCAGAAACAGAUCGCUGGCCUCUGAUUUCCAAGUAACCCAAGAUGUUCCCAGUAACAGCACUUCCUCUCAUGGCGCUGGUCCACGUGAUCCAUCCUCUCUCACCCCAUCCUCCUUCCUGCCUUGAGUCACUUGCCUUUGUGUCCCCAGGACAAAAACAUGGCCCCAUUCAUUAAAUGUAAAUAAAUCAUUAAAAAUGAAGAAAGUCCCCAAAUGGCUCAGAAAGGCAUGCAGAAAAUGUGUCCCUGCUAUAGUCAGAGGAAGGGAACACGUGAGAUGGUCAGAUAUGGUCUUCAUCUGUAUGUGGGUCGUCCUCUCCAAGACCAAGAGCCACAAGCUUUUGAUAGCAGCACUCAGGUGAGAUGCAAAUGAAGAAUCAAGGAGUGGAGACAGAGGUGCACUGGAUCAGCAAGAGCCCUUAUAGCUGAUGCACGAGAGGCUGGUCGGCUGCCUUCUCAGGGAGGCAUGGGUUUGGUCUUGACCUUGUGGAGCUUGAGAGUGGCUCUGCACCUGUCACUCUGGCUCUAACAUCCCCAUUAAAGACUUUGGAGUCA